rnacentral:misc_RNA from 1 species
GAAAUGCGAUAAGUAGUGUGAAUUGCAGAAUUCAGUGAAUCAUCGAAUCUUUGAACGCACAUUGCGCCCUUUGGUAUUCCUUAGGGCAUGCCUGUUCGAGCGUCAUUUAAACCUCCAAGCCCUGCUUGCUGUUGGGUGCCUGUCCCGCCCCCGCGCGUGGACUCACCUCAAAUCCAUUGGCGGCCCCCGCAUGGCCACGAGCGCAGCAGAAACGCAAACUCGUGUGUCGGACCGGGCGGCUCCCAGAAGCUACACUCACCAUUUUUGACCUCGGAUCAGGUAGGGAUACCCGCUGAACUUAAGC